rnacentral:misc_RNA from 1 species
GAUGAAGAACGCAGCGAAAUGCGAUAAGUAGUGUGAAUUGCAGAAUUCAGUGAAUCAUCGAAUCUUUGAACGCACAUUGCGCCCGGCAGUAAUCUGCCGGGCAUGCCUGUCCGAGCGUCAUUUCUCCCCUCGAGCGCAGCUUUCCCCCCCGGGGGAGGGCCGCGCCCGGUGUUGGGGCGCUACGGAGGAGCCCAGCGCUCCCCCGUAGGCCCCGAAAUGUAGUGGCGGUCCCGCCGCGGCGCCCCCUGCGUAGUAGUUUUACAACUCGCAUCGGGUCCCGGCGGAGGCCAGCCGUCAAACCCCCCAACUUCAAUAGUUUGACCUCGGAUCAGGUAGGGUUACCCGCUGAACUUAAGCAUAUCAAUAAGCGGAGGA